GACGAACGCUGGCGGCGUGCUUAACACAUGCAAGUCGAACGGAAAGGCCCUGCUUUUGUGCGGUGCUCGAGUGGCGAACGGGUGAGUAACACGUGAGUAACCUGUCCUUGACUUUGGGAUAACUUCAGGAAACUGGGGCUAAUACCGCAUAGGAGCUCCUGCUGCUUGGUGGGGGCUGGAUAGUUUCGCCGGUUGGGGAUGGACUAGCGGCUCAUCAGCUUGAUGGAGUGGUAGUGGCUUACCAAGGCCUGGACCCGUAGCCGGCCUGAGAGGAGCAGCUGCCACGUCAGGAUUGAGAUGAGACCCGGACCCGUAUCCGACGCAAGGGUGGGGAGGGGUAUACUGGACGCGGGGGGCAAGCGUGGCAAAGCCGCGCGGGGGGAGUGAGGCAGGGGGUAGUGUUCCACAUUCGCUUGAGACGGAGUGUGAGUGACAGUAACGGGUGAAGAAGCACCGGCUAACUCCGUG
rnacentral:rRNA from 1 species